GAUUAAGCCAUGCAUGUGUAAGUAUAAAUAUUUAACUUUGAAACUGCGAAUGGCUCAUUAUAUCAGUUAUAGUUUAUUUGAUGAAAAGUACUACUUGGAUAACCGUAGUAAUUCUAGAGCUAAUACAUGAUCAAAUCCUCGACUGUGAAGAGGUGUAUUUAUUAGAAUGAAACCAAUAGACUUCGGUCUGUUUGUGAGUAAUAAUAACUAAUCGUAUCGCAUGCUUAGGUAGCGAUAUGUCUUUCAAGUUUCUGCCCUAUCAGCUUUGGAUGGUAGUGUAUUGGACUACCAUG
rnacentral:rRNA from 2 species